rnacentral:lncRNA from 1 species
UGGCUUUGCUGGGCUUUGUGAUGGCUGCGUUACUGGUGCUUUGCCUCAUUGUGAUUGGCUAUCUGAUAUCCCGUGUCAAGAAGGGGAAUCCUGAUGCAUUCAAGUCUGAGGUCAGCAUCUUCUCAUCAAAGCUCAUGUUUAGGGCCAUGCUUGAAGUUUACUCAGCCCCCUAACAGGCCAAGUCCAAGAGAUAGCAUGCAGUUCACCAAUGAUGGUUUCUUGAAUGAAGGAGACACAGGGAGAUCCAGAUCCAGGCGAGCUGAACUGAGAGAAAGAAGACUGGAUGUAGUUCAAGCAGCGAGGGUGCGAGUGAUACCUCGCGAGAGACAGAGGCACUGCAGCUCCUGUGGACUCCAGACGCAUACCAACCAUUCACACCAUAGUCCUGCCGUCCAAGCCAGAGGAAAGGCGAAUAAGCAUAAAGUAAAAUCCAUUCUGGCUAAAGAGAGGAAGAAGGAUGACAGACACAAGACCGUUUGGUUCAAGGAGAGCGAGGAUUCUUCAGAUAUCGAGGUGGAGAUCAUCCCUGACACUAUAGGGCUUAAGCCUGAAGAGGACAUGGAGAAAGUCGAAGGAGAUUUUGCUUCCCCUCAACUGGAAGACAGUGAAAUGGAACUGGGGGAGUUGACAAUGCUGAAUGUACAGGACUUGAGUAGCAGGGAAACAGCGAUUUCUGAUAGUAGAGAAGGACUGAACACAGAACGAAGAGAUCAGUGAGGAUCUCAGAAGCUCUUGCUCAGUAAAACUAGAGCUCUUUGCUCAUCAGAGACUGAAUUCAUUUUCUCAAGUUCCCAUGAGUUUUGAAAUAAUGUAUCUUUGUGAAAAUAAAACCUGGUUCAGUUCAGACAUAAUUAAUCGCAAAAUACUGACACAUUUAUUCAUAUUUGUAAAUAAUGAGUCCAUUAUGAUAUGCAUUUUUCCAUUGUGUGAUAAGCGUGCCAAACUAAUAUGCAAACGUGUUGAUGUAAUAUGUCUAUAAUUUCAGAAAACAAUACUUAGAAUUUAAUUUUGGCUUGCUGCUUUAUUUAAUGUCAGCUGUGUCUGUGCAUAAUACAUUGUGAAAUAGAGUAUUUUGUAUAAUUAUGUAAAUUAUGU